rnacentral:lncRNA from 1 species
AUGGUGGAUAGCCCAUGGUUGAAGGUGUCCACUGCUCCACAUUUAAUAGAACAAGAGCUGGGUGGAAGUCAUUUGGAUUUAAGCAGAUCAGGACAUAUCUCAGAGUCUGGGAUGAGCGGUGAUAUAUCUGGGAUGAGUGGUGAUAUCUCUGGGAUGAGUGGUGAUAUCUCUGGGAUGAGUGGUGAUAUCUCUGGGAUGAGCGGUGAUAUAUCUGGGAGGAGCGGUGAUAUCUCUGGGAUGAGUGGUGAUAUAUCUGGGAUGAAUGGUGAUAUCUCUGGGAUGAGUGGUGCUAGAUCUGGGAUUAGUGGUGAUAUCUCUGGGAUGAGUGGUGAUAUCUCUGGGAUGAGUGGUGAUAUCUCUGGGAUGAGUGGUGAUAUCUCUGGGAUGAGUGGUGAUAUCUAUGGGGUGAGUGAUGAUAUAUCUGGAUUUUGUGAUGUUCACAGUGGCUCUGGGAGUGGUUUAGAGUUCUCUGGUAUGACAUUUUUGGGGUCGGACUUCAUUGAUCUCGAAGAACAAACUCGUGAGCAGGAAGCUUCUGGACUUCUGCUGUUUGGGUCUGGUAAGGGAAGUGGAUUUACAUCUGCAGGCUAUGGCACUGAAUCAGGAGAAAGAUUAGGGGAAUCAGCUAAUGGUGAGAUCAUCUUCACCAAUAAUGGUAUGGUGGAAAUGUCCAACAAGCCCUUCCAAGGCAUGGAGCAAGGAAGCGGGGAGGUGGAGUACAGUGGCACCGUCAGGUUGUCCUCAGGGAGCGGAGACGACCAAAGUGCCUAUUCUAGUGGACAAGAACAGGAAUGGAUCCCAUUUACUGAAGAUAUGCCAACAGUGAACUCCAGUGAUGCUCCCUUAGCUGUGCUGUCUGCUCAAGGGCCAUCUGGCCUGAACAGUAAUGCUGCAGGACCUCCAGUGCCUUAUUCAGAACCAGAGGGGAUCACGAGUAAACUUGAAACGGUUACUUCUGCAGCUUUGUCUUCUAGCACAGAACCUACUUCUUUACAGAGCCCUUCUGUCACGGAAGGACUUGUUGGGAAUGGUGAGAUUCCUAUUGCGUAA